UAUGAUAUUUAAGAAUUCUAGUUUAUUUAUGUUCGGCAGAUUAAAUCAGGAUGAAAAUAAAAUUAUUGACAACAUUUUGCAUAUAUUCGCAACUGGUAAGAAACAUAAUCAUCCCAAACAAGGACAAGCGCGCACUCUACAUCAACACUAAAGUAGAUGAUAACUGCAAGAGCAUCCACAAAUUUAACAGCAGAAUUUAUGCAAACAAUCCGUAGUAAUUUUUUAUGGAAAACCAACGAAGCUGUGUCAUGGGGUUGCGAGCCCUUCGAUGCAUAAGGAAAUAAAUCAAAUCUUAGCGGCAAAGGAAAGACCUUCCUUUGUCAGCUGAUCCAAAUUCUGUAUAGACGGUUGGACUCUCGCAACUUUAGCAAUAGCCUUGUUUUCAUCGGGACUUCCACCUUCCAGAAAAGCUCCAACAACCUUACGAUCCUUGAUCCAGUAUGAUCCAAACUUUGGCUUGGGCGAUUUUGGAUCAUUGUCUCCAAAGAGCACAGUGUCACCAACAUUGUCACCAUAGAAUUGCCAGGACAGAUCAAAGGCACGAGAGUAGAAGUACGGAAGGUAGUCAUACUCUUCAACCGUUUUUCCUUCCUCACUUGAUUUAAUGGCCUGCACAGCCUGCUCAGCUGAUUUGCGGGCAUGGUCAACAUGUUCAACUCUUCUGAUCUCAUUGUACAACUUCAAAGGAAAAGUAGCAACAUCACCAACGGCAUACACAUCAGGCACACUUGUUCUGAAAAACGCAUCAGUCUUUAUUCCACCCUUCUCCUCUGCAACCUGUCCCUUGAAUAAUGUUGUAAGUGGCCUUCCACCAACACCCACAACAACAAUGUCAGCUUCCAACACCCUACCAUCCUUAAGUUUCACUUCCUUUACCUCCCCAUUUGAAUCAGCUGUAAACCCAACUGCUACUGUUCCCUUGAUAAUGUUGAUUCCCUUAAUAGCAUAAUAACCCUCAUAGAAAGCAGCUAUGUCAGCAGUGAAAAGGCGAGGCAUGCACCAUGGUUCAGGAUAAACCAUGCUGACAUCAAUAUUGUUAAUUCUCAGUGCCGCACUAAGUUCAAGUCCAAUGUAUCCUCCUCCAACGACAACAGCUUUUCCAUUCUUCUUUGCUUUAAUUGCCUCUACAAGCUUAUCAGCGUCAUCAAUUUCUCUCAAGUAGAAGAUAUUCUUGGCAUCAGCUCCUUGGACACCAAAAUCUGACAAUUUUAUAACAGUGGAACCUGUAGCAAUUAUCAAAAUCUGAUACUUGAAGAUUUCUCCAGCUGCACUUGUGAGAGUCUUGGUAGCAAGAUCUGCUUUGACUAUUUCUGUGCUAAGUAUCAACUCUAUCCCUGCAAGUAUCAAACCCGGAGGCCAGAGAGUAAUAUUUUACCUUUGGCAAUUUAACCUUUUGGAAACUUACAAAAAUUAAAUGGGACGUAACAAAACUAAUAAACGAGUAAUAACAAAUUGGACUUAUUAUUUCAGCCAAUCUUCUGUCGGUGACCAAAUUCUCGUACAUUAUACAAGAGGGUUAAGAUAGUAUCACCUUUCUCUUUGUACCAUUCAGGAGCUAGCCUCUCCCCUCCACUUCCAACACAUACAUGGAAUCCUGGAAGCCUUGCAGUUCCUUCAGGAAAAAGAUAUGCCUUGCUAAGUGCAGGACGUUCAUAAGGAGCCACCGCCUCCUUGGAGAUGAUAGCCAAUUCACCUGGAUUAAACCCCUGCUUGCCAAACUCCCUAGCUGCAUAUCCAGCGGCGACGCCACCACCGACGAUCACGUACUUGAAGCUUUUCUCCGCCAUUUGAUUAUUUUCUCCUCUGCUUCCUCCGGUGCUUUUCACUGUGCUUCUUGCAAAUGAGCAAAUUAUAAAGGACAAGUGAUGUAUUCUAUUUUUGUAAUUGGUCAGACAUUUAUAGGGCGAUUAACUCGCGAUUGGCUGACCUUUUGGACACCAGGAUUUUCUGCUAACGUUCCGUUAACGGUAAACACUAUUUAGUCACGUGGCGAGUCGCUUGCCGUCCAUCACUUGCUGAACCAGUCUUCGCCACGACACCGGGACCGCUUAAAGGAUCACUGCCGUCCACGUUGAUUUCCUUGCCCAAAACUGCCCAAAUCAAUUGUUUCUGGUAAUUUUUUAGCACGAGAAAUGCUAUCCGAU
rnacentral:misc_RNA from 1 species